AGUGAACGCUGGCGGUAGGCCUAACACAUGCAAGUCGAACGGCAGCACAGUAAGAGCUUGCUCUUACGGGUGGCGAGUGGCGGACGGGUGAGGAAUACAUCGGAAUCUACUUUUUCGUGGGGGAUAACGUAGGGAAACUUACGCUAAUACCGCAUACGACCUACGGGCGAAAGCAGGGGAUCUUCGGACCUUGCGCGAUUGAAUGAGCCGAUGUCGGAUUAGCUAGUUGGCGGGGUAAAGGCCCACCAAGGCGACGAUCCGUAGCUGGUCUGAGAGGAUGAUCAGCCGCACUGGAACUGAGACACGGUCCAGACUCCUACGGGAGGCAGCAGUGGGGAAUAUUGGACAAUGGGCGCAAGCCUGAUCCAGCCAUACCGCGUGGGUGAAGAAGGCCUUCGGGUUGUAAAGCCCUUUUGUUGGGAAAGAAAAGCAGCAGGUUAAUACCCCGCUGUUCUGACGGUACCCAAAGAAUAAGCACCGGCUAACUUCGUG
rnacentral:rRNA from 1 species